UUGCAAAUGUUAUACUUACCUUUCCAUGUACAGUAAUAAAAUAUAAUCCUGUAAGCUUGUGAAGAAGUAACAUGAAAUAUAGUAGUAAGUAAGGUCUUCUUUAUUUGUUCUGCAGUCACUGUCUGUAGAUGGAAAAGGGACUACAUCAUCAGACUGAUUCAGUUCCACAAGUUCAAAUUGAAGAUGAUGAUGUUUCGAGGAGUCUAAAAAGGUGAGGGAUUGAUGCCUUACAUAUGAAGGCUCGGGCAGCUGAGGAAAAGCACAUGCUUUACCAGGAAAUGAGAAGUGUAACUGAACACCUCCAUCAGCAGCAUGCCUUUCUGUGCUCUGCCAUCAAAGACACUGAGCAGCCUGGUGCAAAAGCUGCUCUCAUUCAACGUCUCCAUCAGCUGGAAAGAAAACGACAUCAAGCCAUUGUGAUGUUUCACCCACAUGUACCAGACAUUGUUCCUGCAGACAACCCCCACUUGUGUCAGGCCCUCCCCAUGCCAAGCAUACAGACACUGGUAUACAAUGAUGAUAGUGAUAAUGAUGACAAUGAGGAUGACAGUGAGGAUGAAUAUGAUAACUAGCACUGCAGAUUUUCUUUAAAUUUCCAGUUGAAUCCUUUGAAACAAAUACUGUAAGUUUGUAAAAAAUAAAAUGUUUUCCAC